GUCCACGCCGUAAACGAUGAAUGCCAGUCGUCGGGCGGCUUGCCGUUCGGUGACGCAGUUAACGCAGUAAGCAUUCCGCCUGGGGAGUACGGCCGCAAGGUUAAAACUCAAGGAAUUGACGGGGGCCCGCACAAGCGGUGGAGCAUGUGGUUUAAUUCGAAGCAACGCGCAGAACCUUACCAUCCCCUUGACUUGCCCGUCGCGGGCCGGGAGACCGGUCCUUCAGUUCGGCUGGACGGAGCACAGGUGCUGCAUGGCUGUCGU
rnacentral:rRNA from 1 species